rnacentral:rRNA from 1 species
UACGAAGGGGGCUAGCGUUGCUCGGAAUCACUGGGCGUAAAGCGCACGUAGGCGGCUUCUUAAGUCAGGGGUGAAAUCCUGGAGCUCAACUCCAGAACUGCCUUUGAUACUGAGAAGCUUGAGUCCGGGAGAGGUGAGUGGAACUGCGAGUGUAGAGGUGAAAUUCGUAGAUAUUGGGAAGAACACCGGUGGCGAAGGCGGCUCUCUGGACCGAUACUGACGCUGAGGCGCGAAAGCGUGGGGAGCAAACAGG